CCUACGGGAGGCAGCAGUGGGGGAUAUUGCACAAUGGGGGGAACCCUGAUGCAGCGACGCCGCGUGAGUGAAGAAGUGCCCCGGCACGUAAAGCUCUGUCAGCAGGGAAGAAGACGACGGUACCUGACCAAGAAGCCCCGGCUAACUACGUGCCAGCAGCCGCGGUAAUACGUAGGGGGCAAGCGUUAUCCGGAUUUACUGGGUGUAAAGGGAGCGCAGACGGCGCGGCAAGUCCGGAGUGAAAGCCCGGGGCCCAACCCCGGGACUGCUCUGGAAACUGCGGCGCUCGAGUGCCGGAGGGGCAGGCGGAAUUCCUAGUGUAGCGGUGAAAUGCGUAGAUAUUAGGAGGAACACCAGUGGCGAAGGCGGCCUGCUGGACGGCGACUGACGUUGAGGCUCGAAAGCGUGGGGAGCAAACAGGAUUAGAUACCCUAGUAGU
rnacentral:rRNA from 1 species